CCAGACUCCUACGGGAGGCAGCAGUGAGGAAUAUUGGUCAAUGGGCGAGAGCCUGAACCAGCCAAGUCGCGUGAAGGAUGACUGUCUUAUGGAUUGUAAACUUCUUUUGUAGGGGAAUAAAGAAUGGUACGUGUACCAUAGUGAAUGUACCCUACGAAUAAGCAUCGGCUAACUCCGUGCCAGCAGCCGCGGUAAUACGGAGGAUGCGAGCGUUAUCCGGAUUUAUUGGGUUUAAAGGGUGCGUAGGCGGCCUGUUAAGUCAGCGGUGAAAUCUAGGGGCUUAACUCCUAAAUUGCCAUUGAUACUGGUGGGCUUGAGUGUAGAUGAGGUAGGCGGAAUGCGUGGUGUAGCGGUGGAAUGCAUAGAUAUCACGCAGAACUCCAAUUGCGAAGGCAGCUUACUAAGGUACAACUGACGCUGAAGCACGAAAGCGUGGGUAUCAAACAGGAUUAGAUACCCUGGUAGUCCACGCAGUAAACGAUGAUAACUGGGCGUAUGCGAUAUACAGUAUGCUCCUAAGCGAAAGCGUUAAGUUAUCCACCUGGGGAGUACGCCGGCAACGGUGAAACUCAAAGGAAUUGACGGGGGCCCGCACAAG
rnacentral:rRNA from 1 species